GAACAAACGCUCGCUCCUUCACCUACCUUUCACUCCACACUCUACUCUUGUACCCGUUAGUCCGGUGGAGAAACAGCAAAUCUUUUGGGUCCACAAUUUUACUUGGUUUCCAUCAUCAGGCAAUUUUGUAUGUUUCAUUCAUGAAAUUGACACUCUCUUCCUAGUCAGCUUUCGGCUCCCCUCUCUCUCUCUGUCACUCUCUAUGCAUUUCUUUUUUGAAUCUUUACAUAAGCUGGUUUUGAUGUACUCUGGUCUUAGAUUGGUUAUUAUAUAUAGCAGUGAAAAAAGAAUCAGAGUUUAGGAGCUUGGAGAUAAUGUCAGGACUCACAAUUGAUGCGUCUCAGAAUGGGAAUGUAAAGAAUGUUGAUAAUCGUAGUACUAGUAGUAGUGGUGUCGUGGGUGGCGUUGAAAUUGAAGAACUGGAUUUCUCAAAGUUGUUAGACAGACCAAGGCCUUUGAAUAUAGAGAGGGACAGGCAGAGAUCUUUUGAUGAAAGGUCUUUGAGUGAAUUGGCAAUUGGGGUCUCUCCUCGCCUUUCUGCUAGAGGGGAUAACAGUGCUUUUCGAGGCUUUGAUCAUAUAGAAUCUGUUUAUUCCCCUGGUAGAAGGUCAGGUUAUAAUACCCCUAGAUCAAACCCUGAGUUUGAGACCCAUCCCACUGUGGCUGAAGCUUGGGAUGCUUUGAGGCGCUCUUUGGUUCAUUUUCGUGGUCAGCCAGUUGGGACUAUUGCAGCACUGGAUAAUUCAGAGGAGAAACUCAACUAUGAUCAGGUGUUUGUGAGAGACUUUGUCCCAAGUGGAUUGGCGUUUCUGAUGAAUGGAGAACCUGAAAUAGUCAAGAAUUUCAUUUUGAAGACUCUUCGCCUUCAGUCAUGGGAGAAAAAAAUUGACAGAUUCCAGCUUGGAGAAGGAGUUAUGCCUGCCAGUUUUAAAGUACUCCAUGAUCCAGUCAGGAACAAUGAGACAUUAAUUGCAGAUUUUGGUGAGAGUGCAAUAGGAAGAGUUGCUCCUGUCGACUCUGGAUUUUGGUGGAUUAUAUUGCUCCGAGCAUACACCAAGUCAACAGGCGAUACCUCAUUGGCUGAACUGCCAGAAUGUCAAAAGGGUAUGCGCCUAAUUUUGAGUUUAUGCCUUUCAGAGGGGUUUGACACGUUUCCAACUCUCCUUUGUGCUGAUGGAUGCUGCAUGAUUGAUCGUAGAAUGGGUGUGUAUGGGUAUCCCAUUGAAAUUCAAGCUCUAUUCUUCAUGGCUUUAAGAUGUGCUAUGCUCUUACUGAAGCAAGAUGAAGAAGGGGAAGAGUUUGUAGAGCGAAUUGUCAAACGUCUUCAUGCCUUGAGCUUUCACAUGAGGAGUUACUUUUGGAUUGACUUGAAGCAGCUUAAUGAUAUUUAUCGCUAUAAAACAGAGGAAUACUCUCAUACUGCAGUUAACAAGUUUAAUGUAAUACCUGAUUCUCUUCCAGAAUGGAUUUUUGAUUUUAUGCCAGUUCGUGGUGGCUACUUUAUUGGGAAUGUUAGUCCUGCAAAAAUGGACUUCCGCUGGUUUUGCUUAGGAAAUUGCAUCGCAAUUCUUUCAUCUUUGGCAACCCCUGAACAAUCUAUGGCAAUCAUGGAUCUUAUAGAAUCGCGGUGGGAGGAGUUGGUUGGAGAAAUGCCACUUAAAGUAUGCUAUCCGGCCAUAGAGAGCCAUGAAUGGCGGAUUAUAACUGGCUGUGACCCUAAGAACACCAGAUGGAGUUACCACAAUGGAGGUUCCUGGCCAGUGCUUUUAUGGCUUCUCACAGCUGCAUGUAUCAAGACUGGACGGCCACAAAUAGCAAGGCGUGCAAUUGAACUUGCCGAAACCAGAUUGCUGAAAGACAACUGGCCUGAAUAUUAUGAUGGGAAGCUUGGCCGAUUCAUUGGAAAGCAAGCCCGGAAAUUUCAGACCUGGUCCAUCGCAGGUUACUUGGUAGCAAAAAUGAUGCUGGAAGAUCCCUCCCAUUUGGGUAUGGUGGCACUUGAGGAAGACAAACAAAUGAAGCCCCUCAUAAGAAGAUCAAAUUCAUGGACUUUCUGAUCACUGCAACUGAUCUAGAAUCAAAUAUGUCAGUCAAUCUCCCUGUCUAAUUUAGAUGCUAAUCUUGUCUUUUGGGUAGGAGGACUAGAAUGUAGCUUCCUACACAGUUCAAGUCCCAGUGCAUAAAUUGUAUGUGAUUUUCAUGUGAAAGCUUGCAUGGAGGAGAGUCAAUUUAUGAUGCUCCAUUUGCUGGUAAGGCUUUCCACAAAAUGGAUGGAGAUUACUUCUUAUGAUUUAAUAGUUGUCAAUUAUAAGCAGAAAAAAGAAAAUUAAAUUUGUAAUUUACAUAGUCAUGAUUUACUAUUAUCAUCAAUAACAAAAUAAUAAAAUUAAAUCUUCUCUACUCUA